CAACAAAGGGACAGCGGCUGACUCAACCAACAGGACGAGCGAAUGCGGCCCAGGAGCCAGCGCUGCCCCUGAGCCAGGGCCACUGCCCCCUGCCGGCUCCUGGGCUCCUGGCCUGCAGGACUGAUGCAGAGCCGGCCAGCUGACAGCUGACAGGCUGUUGGCACCUGCUGUCUCCUCCACCACAGACCCCAGGAGGCUUAUUAGAAAAAGAGUCACUCUGGCUUGGUCAGUCCAAAGUUCUCAGGCCUUCUCUUGGCUAAAGACUAUCCUAACCAACACGGGGAAACCUGAGGCCUCAGGAGCAGGUGCUGGAACCCGAAGCAACAGCUCCAAGUCCCCAUCUCGGCGGCCACACCAAGGACGCCUAACCCAGUCCUCCUCACCCGGAGCCCAUCUGCAAACUCCACCGUCCUGCCCAGGGGGACACAACUCACCCAGAAACCCCAUCCUCAGCCAGGUGGCCCACAGCAAACCCCAAGUCACCAGAUGAGGACCCUGGAUGAGGCAUGCAGGACAGGCCAAGGGGCUCUGAGCUCUGGACUGGCUGCCUCCAGUCCAGCCGCCCCAAGGACCACCACCCUAGCUUCCCGGUCCAGAACACGCCAGCCAAACCCUCUCACCCACCCCUUUAACAUAAAGAAGCUCCAGGAAGAGAAGAAACCAACUUAUUUUCAAGGUGCCUUUGAGUAAUCUCCGUUGUUCCUGAACUUUCUUCCCUGCAUGAAUACAGAACAGCAGUGUGAAAACACAGCUAUUCCAGGAUGGAAAGUGAUUUUAGAAACUCCUCUUGCAACGCCUUGAG
ensembl:lncRNA